rnacentral:rRNA from 1 species
CAUGCAAGUCAAGCGAGAAGCACCUUUCGGGGUGUGGAAAGCGGCGGACGGGUGAGUAACACGUGGGAAUUUGCCUUGAAGUGGGGAACAACCAUUGGAAACGAUGGCUAAUACCGCAUACGCCCUACGGGGGAAAGAUUUAUCGCUUCAAGAUAAGCCCGCGCUAGAUUAGAUUGUUGGUGGGGUAAUGGCCUACCAAGUCUACGAUCUAUAGCUGGUCUGAGAGGAUGACCAGCCACACUGGAACUGAGACACGGUCCAGACUUCUACGGAAGGCAGCAGUAGGGAAUAUUGCACAAUGGGCGAAAGCCUGAUGCAGCCAUGCCGCGUGAGUGAAGAAGGCCUUAGGGUUGUAAAGCUCUUUCAAUUGUGAAGAUGAUGACGGUAGCAAUAGAAGAAGCUCCGGCUAACUUCGUGCCAGCAGCCGCGGUAAUACGAAGGGGGCUAGCGUUGUUCGGAAUUACUGGGCGUAAAGCGCACGCAGGCGGCUUUAUUAGUCAGAGGUGAAAUCCCGGGGCUCAACCCCGGAACUGCCUUUGAUACUAUAAAACUAGAAUAUAGGAGAGGAUAGCGGAACUCCGAGUGUAGAGGUGAAAUUCG